rnacentral:tRNA from 1 species
AGAUGGAUAGUUUAAGGGAAAAAUAUCCUGCCUCUAAUGGGAAGAUGAAAGUUCGAGUCUUUCUUCAUCUG